GCCUCGCUAUGUGCUCGUAUCUUAAAGGCGAGGUACUACCAGGACGGUUCUAUUAUAAAUGCAACCUGCCCGAAGGGUGCCUCGUUCACUUUUCGGAGUAUUUUGCAUGGAAGGGAUUUGCUGCUAGAAGGAUUGAUUUGGAGAGUGGGGGAUGGCUCCAGUAUAUGCAUACACCAUGAUAAUUGGAUUCCACGUAUGGGAUAUCUUCGGCCACUGGGUCAGUUGUACAUUCAGGGUGUGACGCGUGUGUGCCACCUGAUGAACGAGGAAGGAAAUGCCUGGGAUCGGUCCAAGUUAGAUAUGAUGUUUUCUCAGGAUGAUGUGCAGGAUAUCCUUCAGAUUACGAUCGGAGGUCUCGGCGCGGUGGACUUUCUUGCAUGGAAUUUCACCAACAGUGGACAAUUCACGGUCAGAUCAGCUUACCACUUAUGUAUGGCGAAGAAGAGAGCUAAAACAGGAUGGCAGGGGCCCUCGUCUUCGGUGUCGGAGCACCAAGGCUGGAUGGCCCUGUGGGGCGCGAGUGCGCCGGGCAAGGCAAUAAUCCAUGCUUGGAGGUUAAUCAGAAAUGGUUUGGCUGUAGGUACAGAGCUGCUGCGUAGACAUAUUAAGGAAGGGGUGUUCUGUCCGGCCUGUGCACGGGAAGAAUCGAUAGACCAUAGCUUCUGGUCCUGCUAUCACUCUGUUUUGUUCUGGCAAGAGUUAGGCUCAGUAUUGGGAGCAAGGGUGGCCACCCCACCCAGCUCGAUGUGUUCCCAGAGCCAACUAGCAGCGUGGAUGCUUCAGUGGAUGACGGAGGCGAAUGAUGAUGAAAAAUCAAUGAUGAUUCAAGGACUUUAUGCGCUGUGGCUUGCUAGGAACGACACCCGUGAAGGGAAGAAGAUCGAAGAUCCGGUGUUAAUUGCAAGGAGAGUAGUUUGUCAUCUGGAGGAGUGGAAGAGCGUACAUGCUGCUCGAGCCCCUAAAGAGCGACAGAUCUCUCUGGAGAAAUGGAGACCUCCGGACCAAGGAUGGGUCAAAGCGAACGUUGAUGGUGCCAUGGCGAAAUCAGAGAAGACCGGAGGCGGAGGUGUUAUUUUCAGAGAUACAAACGGUGCGUUCAGAGGUGCAGCUUCCCACUUCUUCCCAGCGUGCUCCAAGCCGGAGAUUGCCGAGCUUCUGGCUUGCAAACAAGCGCUUCAGUGGGCAGUUCAGCGGAAUAUACAAUGGUUACACUUGGAAACAGACUCGCAGGUGGUGGCUGGAAUGCUGGCGAGGGAGGAGCGGAAUUUGUCCCCUGCGGGACAAGUAGUUGAACAAAUAAAGGAGAUGAUUAAAUCAAGAGAACAGUUCAAGCUCAACUGGGUUCCGAGGAAGGCAAAUGGUGCUGCACAUGCCCUUGCUAGGUUGGGUGUGAAUUCUAGUGUUUCGGUUUUUUGGGAUUCUGCUCCCCCAGAUUGUAUUCUGAGUAUUGUU
rnacentral:rRNA from 1 species